rnacentral:rRNA from 1 species
GGCGAACGGGUGAGUAACACAUCGGAACGUACCCAGGAGUGGGGGACAACCUCGAGAAAUCGAGGCUAAUACCGCAUACGUCCUGAGGGAGAAAGCGGGGGACUCGCAAGAGCCUCGCGCUCAUGGAGCGGCCGAUGUCGGAUUAGCUAGUUGGCGGGGUAAAGGCCCACCAAGGCUACGAUCCGUAGCUGGUUUGAGAGAACGACCAGCCACACUGGGACUGAGACACGGCCCAGACUCCUACGGGAGGCAGCAGUGGGGAAUUUUGGACAAUGGGGGCAACCCUGAUCCAGCCAUGCCGCGUGAGUGAAGAAGGCCUUCGGGUUGUAAAGCUCUUUCGGCCGGAACGAAAUCGCGUACGUGAAUAACGUGCGUGGAUGACGGUACUGGAAGAAGAAGCACCGGCUAACUACGUGCCAGCAGCCGCGGUAAUACGUAGGGUGCGAGCGUUAAUCGGAAUUACUGGGCGUAAAGCGUGCGCAGGCGGUUCUGUAAGUCAGAUGUGAAAUCCCCGGGCUUAACCUGGGAACUGCGUUUGAAACUACGGAGCUAGAGUACGGCA